CAUAAAGGACAGAGUCAUAAUAUAAUAUGAUAAUAAAUCUUCAACCAGACUGUAUGUUACAGUAUGUACACCAAGCCCAGUCAGACAGCACCUUCUAUCACGUCUACAGUUGGUUUGGUUUUCUCUUUCUUUCAGAGUUGGUAGGUUGUAAUAGAGUGCAAUAGUAAAAAUGAGUAUUACGCGUUCUUACCGCCGUAGAGUGUUUAUGAACCAUUAUAGUGUGCUAUAAACCAUUAAUACAGUUUAUAAACCAUUAAUACAUGUAAUCAGUGUAUAAACCAGUGUGUGUAAUAAUUGUGUGUUGGUAAACAUCUUUCUGUGUUGUCUGUCAGAAGGGUUUGAAGACACUGCAUUUUUUAAAUCAGUCAAAUUAACAUUUGAUCUCCUUAGACACAAAAAUAUUUAAUAUUCUGAUUAUUGUGCUCAAUCCCUGACCUUUAACCCCUGACCCUGAAAAGGAUGAGUUAAGGACGUUGUGUUAGCCUGACCUCUAACCCUGAUAAUGUAAAGGAUCAGGACGUUUACAGUCUCUCGCAGACCAAACCCUCCUACAACCACCCUGCAACGUUACAGCAACCAACCUAUAAUGCUCCUACAACACAAUCUGAAACCUCACUGUCUUCAUUAUCAUCAAACCCCUCCUAGCUUCUAUAACUGACUAGUUAGUAAAAUGGUCUCAGUCAGUUGAUUGGUUGGUUUGUUUCUUUAAGACUUUGGGACACCUGGUGGUUUCUCUCUAGGUGGUCUAGAUCUAUACUGGUUAUAUCUACACUAACAUGAGGUGGUUUCUCUCUAGGUUGUGUAGAUCUAUACUGGUUCUAUCUACACUAACAUGAGGUGGUUUCUCUCUAGGUGGUCUAGAUCUAUACUGGUUCAAUCUACACUAACAUGAGAUGGUUCCUCUCUAGGUGGUCUAGAUCUAUACUGGUUCUAUCUACACUAACAUGAGGUGGUUCUCUCUAGGUGGUCUAGAUCUAUACUGGUUCUAUCUACACUAACAUG
ensembl:lncRNA